UGUGGCGCGCCGUGACGUUGAGAUUUCAUUAUUUAAAAUUUUUUCGAUUUAGUUUUUCUACCAGAAAUCUUGAACUAAAAUUCAAGUUAAACAUGAAACAGAAAUUAAAAUUGUAUAGUUAGUGCGUCAGAAAUAUCGUUAUUUUCCGUAAAGAUUUUUAACGAUUGGACAAAACUGGGAAAAAAAGUAGAAAAAACUUGUUGUUUUAUGGAAAU